rnacentral:rRNA from 1 species
GAUGAACGCUGGCGGCGUGCCUAAUACAUGCAAGUCGAGCGAACAGACGAGGAGCUUGCUCCUCUGACGUUAGCGGCGGACGGGUGAGUAACACGUGGAUAACCUACCUAUAAGACUGGGAUAACUUCGGGAAACCGGAGCUAAUACCGGAUAAUAUUUUGAACCGCAUGGUUCAAUAGUGAAAGACGGUCUUUCUGUCACUUAUAGAUGGAUCCGCGCUGCAUUAGCUAGUUGGUAAGGUAACGGCUUACCAAGGCAACGAUGCGUAGCCGACCUGAGAGGGUGAUCGGCCACACUGGAACUGAGACACGGUCCAGACUCCUACGGGAGGCAGCAGUAGGGAAUCUUCCGCAAAGGGCGAAAGCCUGACGGAGCAACGCCGCGUGAGUGAUGAAGGUCUUCGGAUCGUAAAACUCUGUUAUUAGGGAAGAACAAAUGUGUAAGUAACUAUGCACGUCUUGACGGUACCUAAUCAGAAAGCCACGGCUAACUACGUG